CCAAGCAGAGCCUCUUGUGAACAGCUUUCCAACCCCUGGACGUCAGAGUGCUGAUAACUGGCCCGUUACACACAGAGGAGGCUGUUCACCUGCAAAAUGCUGUGGUUCUCAAGAUGAUGAGAUCUCAGGCUGUUGAGGUAUUUCUGCCGAAUACCUGCUACUACUACUGUCAGAAAGGCUUCCACUGCAAGGAGCAGAGAACUCUGUACAGAUUUGAAGACCGGAAUGGAGAAAACAGAAAUGAUUAAUGAAACAAGAGUGAAAUGUAUAUGUCACGUGCAAAGUGGGGGUGGGGCGCUGGCCAUGCAGUAAUUGGCCCUUUGUGCUGAGACGUGUCUAUGUCACAGGUGGAACACCAGGCAUUGGACCUUUGCUAAGACCAAAGGUAUCUCAGGCCUUCAGAAUGUGUUACGUCAGAGAGAAGAAAGUGACCAAGCAACCUGAUGCCAGUUUCGAGAUCUAUAUCCAGACCAGCUGUAGGAAGAGACAGUAAGGCUGCCACCCAAUGUGUACGCUGUUCGGUGUCUGCUGCUGAGCACGUUCAGAACUCAAGUGACAAAUAUGUGGGAAAGUGCCCAGAACUCUGUAGCUUUCACUGAUUCACGGUGGCUGAAAGUACAGGGACUGUUGUUAUCUCUUAAAGGAGGAAGCCAGAGGUAGUUCCACGGCUGCUGAAUUCUGUAGCAAAAUGAUGACACCCGGAGGCUUUCCUUGGUCUUUGCAUUCCAGCACACCAGUAAACUGACUCCCUCAUGAUCUCAGUGUGGCUGCAGAGCCUCCAGACAUCACCCCAACACACGGCUCGGUGUCAUUCUCCUGCAUCUCGUUUUAACCAUGGAAGAAAAUCUCUCCCACGGUAUGAAAGUUACCCUAUAAAACCCCAUAAUUCUCUUUUGGUUACCUUGUUUCAUAAAUUGCUGCAGGGGGCAAUAAUGUUGGGAUAGACAUCUCUGUAUAUACCCCCCCACCCCGUCCC